rnacentral:rRNA from 1 species
UACAGAGACUGCAAGCGUUAUUCGGAUUCCCUGGGCGUAAAGGGUGCGCAGGCGGCCAGGUGUGUUAGGCGUGAAAGCCCGGGGCUUAACCCCGGAAUUGCACCUAAAACUACUUGGCUAGAGCAUUGGAGAGGGUAGCGGAAUUCACGGUGUAGCAGUGAAAUGCGUAGAUAUCAGGAGGAACACCGGUGGCGAAGGCGGGGUCCUGGGCCAGUACUGACGCUGAGGAGCGAAAGCGUGGGGAGCAAACAGG